AAAAAUAUAUAAAAAUCUUGGAGCACAAGUAAAACACGUCAAUCACUCUCAACUGAAAACUCUCUCUGAAAUAGAUGUUAAAUAUAUAGGUCAAAUAAAGACGAAUUGUUGAAAAUCAAAGCAUCCACUGCCAGGGAAUUCGACAUUGUUGAUGGCGGCCAGCUCAACCAUUUCUUGGGCAUAGAAAUUGAGCGCGAAGGGGAGACUGGAAGCAUAACAAUCGGCCACAAGCAGUAUGUGGAACAAAUGCUACAUACUUGUGGCAUGUCAACGUGUAGGCCUGUAGCUACACCACUGGAUGCAAGUCACCAAGUCGAAUGUGAUGACGUCAACUGCGAGAUGGUUAAUGAAAAGAGCUACCAAUCAUUGAUAGGUACAUCUUUGAUGUAUUUAGCCAUAACAACCAGGCCGGAAAUACUACAUUCGGUAGCGAAACUGGCACAACGAAAUGCCAGCCCUCACUAGGAGCAUGAAGUUGCAGCGAAGCGUGUGCUAAGGUAUUUAAAAGGUAUUUAAAAUAUGAGACUUCAUUAUCAGGAUACUGGCAAGCAGAUCUAUGGAUACGUCGACGCAGACUGGGCGAACGAUGCUGCAGAUCGAAAAUCAUAUAGUGGAUAUGUCUUUAUUGGUGCAGGCAGCGCGAUUUCGUGGGAAUCGAAGAAACAAAGUCUGGUGGCGUUAAGCAGCACUGAAGCCGAAUAUAUUGCCUUAUCUACCGCAGCAAGGGAAGCAACAUAUAUUAAAAAAUUGUUGCAUGAUAUGGGAUAUAUAGAAACCAAGCCUAUUUUAUUGUAUUGCGAUAAUCAAAGCGCACAGUGGUUAGCUGAAAAUCCAAUUUUACAUAAACGUAGUAAGCACAUCGAUAUAAAGUUUUACCAUGUACGCGAGCUAUAUUCUAAGAACGAAAUAGAUGUUAAAUAUAUAGGUACUAAUGAUA